rnacentral:rRNA from 1 species
GAUGAACGCUGGCUACAGGCUUAACACAUGCAAGUCGAGGGGAAACGACGGGGAAGCUUGCUUCCCCGGGCGUCGACCGGCGCACGGGUGAGUAACGCGUAUCCAACCUGCCUCUGACUGAGGGAUAACCCGUCGAAAGUCGGCCUAAUACCUCAUGGCAUCGUCUGCGGGCAUCCAACGACGAUUAAAGAUUUCAUCGGUCAGAGAUGGGGAUGCGUCUGAUUAGCUUGUUGGCGGGGUAACGGCCCACCAAGGCGACGAUCAGUAGGGGUUCUGAGAGGAAGGUCCCCCACAUUGGAACUGAGACACGGUCCAAACUCCUACGGGAGGCAGCAGUGAGGAAUAUUGGUCAAUGGGCGAGAGCCUGAAUCAGCCAAGUAGCGUGCAGGAUGACGGCCCUAUGGGUUGUAAACUGCUUUUAUGCGGGGAUAAAGUGAGGGACGUGUCCUUCAUUGCAGGUACCGCAUGAAUAAGGACCGGCUAAUUCCGUG